rnacentral:rRNA from 1 species
GAUGAACGCUGGCGGCGUGCCUAAUACAUGCAAGUAGAACGCCGUUGCGAACGGGUGAGUAACGCGUAGGUAACUGCCUCAUAGCGGGGGAUAACUAUUGGAAAAGAGAGCUAAUACCGCAUACUGUGAGAUGGACCUGAUUAGUAUUAGCUAGUUGGUGAGGUAAAGGGUCACCAAGGCGACGAGACAUAGCCGACCUGAGAGGGGGAACGGCCACACGGUGAAUGGGACACGGCCCAGACUCCUACGGGAGGCAACAGUAGGGGAACUUCGGAGAUGGGCGGAAGUCUGGCCGCGCAACUCCGCGUUAGUGAAGAAGGGUUUCGGAUUGUAAAGCUCUGUUGUUAGAGAAGCGGUAUCUGACCAGAAAGCAACGGCUAACUACGUGCCAGCAGCCGCGGUAAUAC